rnacentral:rRNA from 1 species
UAAGUAAGUGGUGGAAAUUAAACCAAAUGGGAUAUCUUUAGUAAUUGCGAAUGAACAAGGAUAUGCUUAGCUUGACAAAUGGAGCUAUUGGCUUUGAAUUGUAUUUGUGGAAUGUAUUACCAACAGAGGUGCAGGUGCCAGCCUAUUAAAUAAAGCGUCAAUGAGGGUGAGAAUCCUGUUUGUCAUGUGCAGCCCUUUGUGCACGGUGUAUAUUUGCUGAGUCACACUCCUUGGCAUUGGAAUGCAAAGUGGGUGGUAAGUUUCAUGUACAGGUAAACAUGCAAUUG